rnacentral:rRNA from 1 species
UGAGGGAAAGGCGAAAAGAACCCCGGCGAGGGGAGUGAAAAAGAACCUGAAACCGUGUACGUACAAGCAGUGGGAGCACAGGUUUACCUGUGUGACUGCGUACCUUUUGUAUAAUGGGUCAGCGACUUAUAUUCUGUAGCAAGGUUAACCGUAUAGGGGAGCCGUAGGGAAACCGAGUCUUAACCGGGCGUUAAGUUGCAGGGUAUAGACCCGAAACCCGGUGAUCUAGCCAUGGGCAGGUUGAAGGUUGGGUAACACUAACUGGAGGACCGAACCGACUAAUGUUGAAAAAUUAGCGGAUGACCUGUGGCUGGGGGUGAAAGGCCAAUCAAACCGGGAGAUAGCUGGUUCUCCCCGAAAGCUAUUUAGGUAGCGCCUCGUGAAUUCAUCUCCGGGGGUAGAGCACUGUUUCGGCUAGGGGGCCAUCCCGGCUUACCAACCCGAUGCAAACUGCGAAUACCGGAGAAUGUUAUCACGGGAGACACACGGCGGGUGCUAACGUCCGUCGUGAAGAGGGAAACAACCCAGACCGCCAGCUAAGGUCCCAAAGUCAUGGUUAAGUGGGAAACGAUGUGGGAAGGCCCAGACAGCCAGGAUGUUGGCUUAGAAGCAGCCAUCAUUUAAAGAAAGCGUAAUAGCUCACUGGUCGAGUCGGCCUGCGCGGAAGAUGUAACGGGGCUAAACCAUGCACCGAAGCUGCGGCAGCGACACUGUGUGUUGUUGGGUAGGGGAGCGUUCUGUAAGCCUGUGAAGGUGGCCUGUGAGGGUUGCUGGAGGUAUCAGAAGUGCGAAUGCUGACAUAAGUAACGAUAAAGCGGGUGAAAAGCCCGCUCGCCGGAAGACCAAGGGUUCCUGUCCAACGUUAAUCGGGGCAGGGUGAGUCGACCCCUAAGGCGAGGCCGAAAGGCGUAGUCGAUGGGAAACGGGUUAAUAUUCCCGUACUUGGUGUUACUGCGAAGGGGGGACGGAGAAGGCUAUGUUGGCCGGGCGACGGUUGUCCCGGUUUAAGCGUGUAGGUGUGUGUUCCAGGUAAAUCCGGUUCACUUUAACACUGAGGCGUGACGACGAGGCACUACGGUGCUGAAGCAACAAAUGCCCUGCUUCCAGGAAAAGCCUCUAAGCAUCAGGUAACAUCAAAUC